rnacentral:rRNA from 1 species
UACGAGGGGGGCAAAUGUUGUUCGGAAUCACUGGGCGUAAAGGGAGCGUAGGCGGGUUUUUAAGUCAGGUGUUUAAUCCCGGGGCCCAACCCCGGACAGGCACUUGAAACUGGGAAUCUUGAAUAGUGGAGAGGUCAGUGGAAGUGGGGGUGUAGCGGUGGAAUGCGUAGAGAUCCCCAAGAACACCCGUUGCGAAGGCGGCUGACUGGACACAUAUUGACGCUGAGGCUCGAAAGCAUGGGGAGCAAACAGG